rnacentral:rRNA from 1 species
CGGUAACAGCUCAAAUUUGAAAUCUGGCUCUUUUAGGGUCCGAGUUGUAAUUUGUAGAAGAUGCUUUGGAGUCGCUCCGGCCUAAGUUCCUUGGAACAGGACGCCAGAGAGGGUGAGAGUCCCGUCUGGUCGGCAGCUUAUCCGUGUAAAGCUCUUUC